GAACGUUACGAAGUGGUAUUCAAUGUUACCUGAAGGGAGCUACAAGUAAUUUAACAGGCGGGAGAGAGAAAGAGAGAGUGAGAGAGUUGCCGACCAGUCCAUCCAACCAUCUUCCUAUAAAUCUCUCCAGCUGGCCUGUCUAAGUUAUAUCUUCUGCCCUAGUUAUCUCUUUCUCCCGACUGCUAGCUAGGGUUUCACAUCUGGUUGAUGUGCCCUUCUAUGGGUGAGAAUGGUAGUUGAAAUUACCCUCAUCCCGUUGUCGUUCUCGUUAAAAUUCUAGGGUAUUGCCUUCUGCUUUUCCUCUCGCAAGUCUAGCUUGUGUAGUUCAGGUAAUGGAUCCAAUGGUGUGAAGGGACUGCCGGUUUGCUAUGGCACUAUGGCUCCAUCUUGGGUUGACCGCCCUUGCGCGGCCCCCUCGCGUCCUCGAUAACGCUACCGGGCUAGUGGGGAUUUAUGUAUUUUGGCUUGUAAAUUCAUUUAGUCGGUCUUAAGUUCUUCCACAAGUUAUGUAUAUUUGUAUUAUUACAUGUAGGGUUUUGUAACCCACUCGAUACGGUUUAUCAAGUGAAUUCACAGUUGACUUGUUCAAUUUA